ACAGAUUUGCUGUUAUUCUUAGUUUUAGGAGAACGGUGCAUUUCACUCUUUUUUAUUACUGUUGUUUUAUAAGCAUGUGGAGACCCCAAGGCAAAACCAUCCUACCUUAUUGACAAAAACCUGGAAUUUGCUGUGAAGUUCAUAGUCAGAAAGUUCCCUGCUGUAGAAACCCGCAACAACAAUCGAUAGCUUGCACAACUUCAGAAAGAAAAUGCUGGGAUUCUGAAAAAUUUGGCAUUAUACUACUUCACAUUUGUAGAUGUCAUGGAAUUUAAGGACCAUGUUUGUGAAUUGCUGAAUACUAUUGAUGUUUGCCAAGUCUUCUUUGAUAUUACUGUAAACUUUGAUUUAACAAAAAACUACUUAGAUUUGAUCAUAACCUAUACAACACUAAUGAUCCUGCUGUCUUGAAUUGAAGAAAGGAAGGCAAUCAUUGGAUUAUACAACUAUGCUCAUGAAAUGACCCACGGAGCAAGUGACCGAGAAUACCCACGCCUUGGUCAGAUGAUCAUGGAUUAUGAAAACCCUUUAAAGAAGAUGAUGGAAGAAUUUGUACCCCAUAGCAAGUCUCUUUCAGAUGCACUAAGUUCUCUUCAGAUGGUGUAUCCUCGAAGGAAUCUGUCAGCUGACCAGUGAAGAAACGCCCAAUUACUGAGUCUCAUCAGUGCA